GAUGAACGCUGGCGGCGUGCUUAACACAUGCAAGUCGAACGGUGAAGGCGGAGCUUGCUCUGCUGGAUCAGUGGCGAACGGGUGAGUAACACGUGAGCAAUCUGCCCCUGACUCUGGGAUAAGCGCUGGAAACGGCGUCUAAUACUGGAUACGAGCUGCGAAGGCAUCUUCAGCAGCUGUAAAGAACUUCGGUCAGGGAUGAGCUCGCGGCCUAUCAGCUUGUUGGUGAGGUAACGGCUCACCAAGGCGUCGACGGGUAGCCGGCCUGAGAGGGGGACCGGCGACACUGGGACUGAGAGACGGCCCAGACUCCUACGGGAGGCAGCAGUGGGGAAUAUUGCACAAUGGGCGAAAGCCUGAUGCAGCAACGCCGCGUGAGGGACGACGGCCUUCGGGUUGUAAACCUCUUUUAGCAGGGAAGAAGCGAAAGUGACGGUACCUGCAGAAAAAGCGCCGGCUAACUACGUG
rnacentral:rRNA from 1 species